rnacentral:rRNA from 1 species
AGGGACGAACGCUAGGGCGGCGUGCCUAACACAUGCAAGUCGAACGAAGAAUGUUUUUCGGAAUAUUCUUAGUGGCGGACGGGUGAGUAACGCGUGAACAAUCUGCCCCGUACAAAGGGAUAGCCUCGGGAAACCGGGAUUAAAACCAUAUAACACUUAACUGCCGCAUGGUAGUGAAGUCAAAUCGAUUAAGAGGUAUGGGAUGAGUUCGCGUCUGAUUAGCUAGUUGGUGAGGUAAGGGCUCACCAAGGCGACGAUCAGUAGCCGGCCUGAGAGGGUGAACGGCCACACUGGAACUGAGACACGGUCCAGACUCCUACGGGAGGCAGCAGUGGGGAAUAUUGCACAAUGGAGGGAACUCUGAUGCAGCGACGCCGCGUGAGUGAAGAAGGUCUUCGGAUCGUAAAACUCUGUCCUUGGUGAAGAAAAGGACGGUAGCCAAGGAGGAAGCCCCGGUAACACGUG